CCCUUAGAUGUUCUGGGCCGCACGCGCGCUACACUGAUGCAUUCAACAAGCCUAGCCUUGACCGAGCGGUCCGGGUAAUCUUUGAAACUGCAUCGUGAUGGGGCUAGAUUAUUGCAAUUAUUAAUCUUCAACGAGGAAUGCCUAGUAAGCGUGAUUCAUCAAAUCGCGUUGAUUACGUCCCUGCCCUUUGUACACACCGCCCGUCGCUCCUACCGAUUGAAUGUGUUGGUGAGGAGCUCGGAUUGGCAGCAGUUGGUGGUUCGCCACCGGCUAUUGCUGAGAAGUCCUCCAAACCGCCCCAUUUAGAGGAAGGAGAAGUCGUAACA
rnacentral:rRNA from 1 species